rnacentral:rRNA from 1 species
GAUGAACGCUGGCGGCGUGCCUAAUACAUGCAAGUCGAGCGAAUGGAUUAAGAGCUUGCUCUUAUGAAGUUAGCGGCGGACGGGUGAGUAACACGUGGGUAACCUGCCCAUAAGACUGGGAUAACUCCGGGAAACCGGGGCUAAUACCGGAUAACAUUUUGGACCGCAUGGUUCGAAAUGGAAGGUCGGCUUCGGCUGUCACUUAUGGCUGGACCCGCGUCGCAUUAGCUAGUUGGUGAGGUAACGCCUCACCAAGGCAACGAUGCGUAGCCGACCUGAGAGGGUGAUCGGCCACACGGGGACUGAGACACGGCCCAGACUCCUACGGGAGGCAGCAGUAGGGAAUCUUCCGCAAUGGACGAAAGUCUGACGGAGCAACGCCGCGUGAGUGAUGAAGGCUUUCGGGUCGUAAAACUCUGUUGUUAGGGAAGAACAAGUGCUAGUUGAAUAAGCUGGCACCUUGACGGUACCUAACCAGAAAGCCACGGCUAACUACGUGCCAGCAGCCGCAGUAA